UCCUGGGGAACAGCACUAACCCUCAGCAA
rnacentral:piRNA from 1 species